UACGGAGGGUGCAAGCGUUAUCCGGAUUUACUGGGCUUAAAGGGCGCGUAGGCGGAUUUGUAAGUCAGUGGUGAAAUCUCCGAGCUUAACUCGGAAACUGCCAUUGAUACUAUAAGUCUUGAAUUAUCUGGAGGUGAGCGGAAUAUGUCAUGUAGCGGUGAAAUGCUUAGAUAUGACAUAGAACACCAAUUGCGAAGGCAGCUCACUACGGAUAUAUUGACACUGAGGCACGAAAGCGUGGGGAUCAAACAGG
rnacentral:rRNA from 1 species